UCUGAACCCUGUGGUGAAGACACUCUCCAGGUGGACUCUCUGAACCCUGUGGUGAAGACACUCUCCAGGUGGACUCUCUGAACCCUGUGGUGAAGACACUCUCCAGGUGGACUCUCUGAACCCUGUGGUGAAGACACUCUCCAGGUGGACUCUCUGAACCCUGUGGUGAAGACACUCUCCAGGUGGACUCUCUGAACCCUGUGGUGAAGACACUCUCCAGGUGGACUCUCUGAACCCUGUGGUGAAGACACUCUCCAGGUGGACUCUCUGAACCCUGUGGUGAAGACACUCUCCAGGUGGACUCUCUGAACCCUGUGGUGAAGACACUCUCCAGGUGGACUCUCUGAACCCUGUGGUGAAGACACUCUCCAGGUGGACUCUCUGAACCCUGUGGUGAAGACACUCUCCAGGUGGACUCUCUGAACCCUGUGGUGAAGACACUCUCCAGGUGGACUCUCUGAACCCUGUGGUGAAGACACUCUCCAGGUGGACUCUCUGAACCCUGUGGUGAAGACACUCUCCAGGUGGACUCUCUGAACCCUGUGGUGAAGACACUCUCCAGGUGGACUCUCUGAACCCUGUGGUGAAGACACUCUCCAGGUGGACUCUCUGAACCCUGUGGUGAAGACACUCUCCAGGUGGACUCUCUGAACCCUGUGGUGAAGACACUCUCCAGGUGGACUCUCUGAACCCUGUGGUGAAGACACUCUCCAGGUGGACUCUCUGAACCCUGUGGUGAAGACACUCUCCAGGUGGACUCUCAGAACCCUGUGGUGAAGACACUAUCUAGACCCUGUGGUGAAGACACUCUCCAGGUGGACUCUCAGAACCCUGUGGUGAAGACACUCUCCAGGUGGACUCUCAGAACCCUGUGGUGAAGACACUAUCUAGACCCUGUGGUGAAGACACUCUCCAGGUGGACUCUCAGAACCCUGUGGUGAAGACACUCUCCAGGUGGACUCUCAGAACCCUGUGGUGAAGACACUCUCCAGGUGGACUAUCUUCUAGUCUUAAUGAGUGACAGGGAUAAUUAAAAACACACACACACAGUGCUCUAAUUAUCUCUGUUUGUGACACGACGCGGUGCUGUGUGCUCCAGCUAUAAGACAAGCUAAUUCGGAGUGAUGUCCCAGCGCUGUCUGUUCAUUAAUAAGACAACAUCAAUUAGACAGCUGCACUUCG